GCGGGUGUAGCUCAAUGGCAGAGCACUGGCUUCCCAAGCCAGCUACGGGGGUUCGAUUCCCCUCACCCGCUCCA
rnacentral:tRNA from 1 species